GAGAAGAGAAGAGAAGAGAAGAGAAGAGAAGAGAAGAGAAGAGAAGAGAAGAGAAGAGAAAUGCAGGAGCUCAGGCCUCACCCCAGACCUACUGAGUCUGAAACAGCAUGUUGAGAAGAUUCCCCAGGUUCUACCCUUACUGGCAGGACAACUCUACGUGCUGGAUUGUCCAUUCCUGAUUGGCUUGACUCCAUUGUGUGAGAAGUCAGACUAUGUCAUACCGUCCCUCCUGGACCAGCAGAGACACAGGUCUUGGGAAGAGAAAGGCAGCGCUGUGUCGGUCAUCAGGAUCCACUUACAAGCAAGAUCCACAUGGAGCACUGGUUUAGAACUUCUAUAAAGGGUUGUUAGGAAUCAUUUUUUCUAGAUACAACAAGAAAAAACAGUCUAGGCUUUGCAAGAGUUCUUGACUCCUUUCCUAAUCCCACUGGCCACAUCCAGUUGAUCACCAAGUCCUAUUAACUUAAAUCAUGAUAAUCUGAUACUAAAUGCUUAAAAGUGCCAGUCAUCUGAGAGUUCUAUAUUUAAUAAUUCAUUUAACCCUUACAACCUCCCUGCUUUGUAGGCAUAUUACUAUUAUUAUCUAUAAUAUGUGACCCAACAAGAGGUAUAUGGAUUGAGUAACUUUCAUGAAACACAGCUAGAGAGGUAAAACUUAGGACUCUAAGCAGCAUGUCUGGCUCCAGAACCCACAUUCUUCUCCAUUACAUUUCACCAACCCUUAUGUGUCAAUUCUGUCUCCUCCUUACCAUCCCUACUGCCUUGGCUUUAUUUAAUUCAAGGACUUAUCUUCUCUGGACUGGUUUCUUGCAAGGACUCUAAUCAUUUUCCCUGACUCCACCAUCUCCGCUUCCCAGAACAAUACUUUUGUUCACACUGAUGCCAGUGUGGCAUUAAGCACAUAGUUAUUGGAAACUUAAAAUGUGUCUGGUCCAAAUUGAGAUGUGCUGUAAGUAUAACACCAGAUUUCAAAGUGGAAGUGUGGAAGAAAGUGUGGAAGAAAGAAUGUAAACUAUCUCAAUAAUUUUCCCUUUCAUCACGUGUUACUGGGUCUUAUUGCUUCAGGCCCAAAUGAGCUAGCAGAUUCCACAAAAUGUUUAAGCCCUCUAAAGAAGAUAUCUGCCAGGGGUGCCUGCGUGGCUCAGUUGGUUAAGCAUCCAACUUCAGCUAGGGUCGUGAUCUCAUAGUUCGUGUGUUCGAGCCCCGCAUCAGGCUCUGUGCUGACAGCUCAGAGCCUGGAGCCUGCUUCAGAUUCUGUGUCUCCCUCUCUCUCUCUCUCUCUCUCUCUCUCUCUCUCUCUCUCUGCCCCUUCCCCACUCACACUCUGCCUGUCUCUCAAAACUUAGUAAACCAUAAAAAAAAUUCAAGAAAAUAUCUGCCAGCAUUUUGUGAAAAAUCCCCAAGACAAAGAAGGUAAGACACCUAGGACCAAAGCACGGCAUAUUGUUUUUCCACAUGUCCUGCGACACAAAUGUUGGCUACAUUGUUCUGAAGAAACAGCUUCCUGAAAAAAGAGAGAAGCUGCAAAAUAUGAUAAAAUUUUGACCAGGAGAAUAAAGGAGGCCAAAGGAAAGCUUCAGAACAGAUUUCCAAGACACUGAGGUUGUCCUUUCUGAGAGCUUCCAUCUCUAAAGUUGAGUUUAUUAAAAAAUGAGAUUUUUCUAAGAGUAACAAAUAAAACUAGAUAUUAAAUAAAAAAGAGGGGUAUGUGAAGAGAUAGAAUCCAAAAAUGUGUAAGCAGGUGGCAAGAGGGGCUGUUUUCUAGAGGAAAUAUAUAUACAUUUUGGAAAGGCUGCAUUAAAGGGGCACCUGGGUGGCUCAGUUGGUUAAGCAUCCGACUCUUAAUCUUGGAUCAGGUUAUGAUCUCAUGGUUCAUGGGUUCAAGCCCUGCAUUGGGCUUGGUGCCAACAGCGUGGAACCUGCUUGGGAUUCUCUAUCUCUUUGCCCUUC